UACGUAGGGUGCAAGCGUUGUCCGGAAUUAUUGGGCGUAAAGAGCUCGUAGGCGGUUUGUCGCGUCUGCUGUGAAAACUGGAGGCUCAACCUCCAGCCUGCAGUGGGUACGGGCAGACUAGAGUGCGGUAGGGGAGAUUGGAAUUCCUGGUGUAGCGGUGAAAUGCGCAGAUAUCAGGAGGAACACCGAUGGCGAAGGCAGGUCUCUGGGCAUUAACUGACGCUGAGGAGCGAAAGCAUGGGGAGCGAACAGG
rnacentral:rRNA from 1 species